GACCCCGCACAAGCGGCGGAGCAUGCGGCUUAAUUCGAUGAUACCCGUAGAACCUUACCUGGACUUGACAUAUAGGGUCAAGCUAUAGAGAUAUAGUGUGCAUUAGCGCCCUAUACAGGUGGUGCAUGGCUGUCGUCAGCUCGUGUCGUGAGAUGUUGGUUAAGUCCCGCAACGAGCGCAACCCCUGUCCUAUGUUGCCAGCAUUUAGUUGGGGACUCAUAGGAGACUGCCGGUGAUAAACGAGGAAGGUAGGGUGGACGACGUCAAGUCAUCAUGCCCUUAUGUCCAGGGCUGCACGCAUGCUACAAUGGCAAGUACAACGAGUCGCAAUACCGCGAGGUGG
rnacentral:rRNA from 1 species